AGUGGAAUUGCUGGGUCAUAUGGUAACUCUAUGAUUACUAUUCUGAGCAACUGCCAAACUGUUCUCCAAAGUGGCUGCACCAUAUACUAUUCCCACCAGCAAU
rnacentral:pre_miRNA from 2 species